rnacentral:rRNA from 1 species
UCUUAAGCAGCGACGCCGCGUGCAUGAUGAGGCCUUCAGAUGUAAAUCUCUUGUUGUCGAUGAAGAUAAGAUGGGAGGGAAUGCCCGUGUGAUGACGUUAGUCGGCGAAUAAGCCCCGGCUAAUUACGUGCCAGCAGCCGCGGUAAUAU